GACGAACGCUGGCGGCGUGCUUAACACAUGCAAGUCGAACGGAAAGGCCCUGCUUUUGUUUGGUGCUCGAUUGGCGAACGGGUGAGUAACACGUGAGUAACCUGCCCUUGACUGUGUGAGAACUUCAGGAAACUGGGGCGCAUACCGGGGAGGAUCUCCUGCUCCGUAGUGUUGGUUGGAGAGUUUCGGCGUUUGGGGCUGGUCUCGGUGGUUAUGAGCUGGUUUGUGGGGUAGGUACGGACCAAGGCUUUGACGGGUAGCCGGCAUGAGAGGGUGGCCGGCCACCUUGGGACUGCGGUAGGCACCAGAAUCGUACGGGACGCAGCAGUCGGAAACCUUGCGCAAUGGCCGCACGCCUGAUGCAGAAACGCCGCGUGCGGAAAGCUGGCUUUCGGGUUGUAAACAGAUUUCGACUGUGCCGAAGCGUGCGUGACGGUACCGGGUCAAGAAGCCCCGGCUAACUACGUG
rnacentral:rRNA from 1 species